rnacentral:rRNA from 1 species
AGAGUUUGAUCCUGGCUCAGGAUGAAUGUUGGCGGCGUGCCUGAGAUAUGCAAGUCGAACGCCCAUGUCGCAAGAUGUGGAGUGGCGGACGGCUGAGUAACACGUAGGAAUCUACCCCAAAAUAAAGAAUAGCUCGUCGAAAGACGGGGUAAUACUUUAUGUUAUAAAUGUCGCAAGAUAUUUAUCAAAGUACAUAACUGUACGUUUUGGGAUGAGCCUGCGGCUUAUCAGGUAGUUGGUAGGGUAAUGGCCUACCAAGCCAAUGACGGGUAGCUGGCCCGAGAGGGUGGUCAGCCAGAGGGGUACUGAGACACGGACCCCACUUCUACGGAAGGCAGCAAUCAGGAAUAGUCGGCAAUGGGCGAAAGCCUGACCGCGCGACGCCGCGUGUGAGAUGAAGCUCUAACGAGUGUAAAUCACUGUGGUAGAGGAAGAAGUCCCGCCUUUGGCGGGAUUGACUGUACUCUGCUAGAAAGUAGCCGCUAACUGCGUGCCAGAAGCGUCGGUAAUACGUGGGCUACGAGCGUUAUCCGGUUUUAUUGGGCGUAAAGGGUCGUGUAGGUGUUCUAUUAAGUCAUGUUUUAAAGACCAAGGCUAAACCUUGGAAAAAGGCAAGAUACUGAUAGAAUUGAGUUGUUUUUAGGGAAACCAGAACUUAGGGAGGAGUAGUGAAAUGCGUUGAUACCCUAGGGAAUACCAGCGGCGAAGGCGGGUUUCUGAAAGACAUCUGACACUGAGACACGAAAGCUAGGGGAGCGAAGCAGAUUAGAGACCUGCGUAGUCCUAGCCCUAAACGAAUGCUUGCUAUCUGCAUUUUUCCCGCCUUAGCGGGAGGGGUGUGGAGAAGGUAACCCGUUAAGCAAGCCGCCUGGGGAGUACGACCGCAAGGUUAAAACUCAAAGGAAUUGGCGGGGAGGCACACAACCAGUGGAACAUGUGGUUCAAUUCGAUACGAACCGAAGAACCUCACCAGGGUUUGACAUCCUAGCGUUCUAUUCUGAUGAAAGUCAGAAAAUCCGCAGGGAGGCUAGGACAGGUGCUGCAUGGCUGUCGUCAGUUCGUUCCGUGAGGAGUGCCCUUAAGUGGGACAACGA